GUUGAUUGUCUUGUUUUUAUGUUUUGUGGUUAUUUAUUUAUUUAUUAAAAAAUUAUUUUGUUGUUGUAUUUUUUGAUUUGAUUUUUAAAACUAUAGUUUAUUUUGUACCGUGAGGGGUUGAAGAUUUUAAUGUUUUUUUGGAAGUUGAUUUUGUUUGUCGUACCUUGUGUAUCAGGGUUCAUUGAAUUUUAUUAUUUAUUUUUAUUUCCCGAUUUUAAAGGAGUUAAUGGCUUAUGUUAGUUACUGUUUCAUUAGUAUUAAUAAUAAGUGGUUGGCAAUGAAAUGUUAUUCGUCUUUAGUGGUUUCUGGUUUUUCAAGAAAUGAAUUUAAUUCAUACAUCUUAUUUAAUUUCUGUUGUUGGUUAUUUUGAUUUUUAUUUGAUGUUAAGAUUGAGGGGGAUUAGCUCCUUGUUUUAUUCUUAUAAUUGUUUAUUAUUUAAUUUAGUUUUGUGGAUUUUAUGGUGAUUUUCUAUUUGAUUAUGUUAAAAUUUUAUUUAUUCUUUUAUUUAUUUUUUGUUGUUUUAAGUUAUUUAUUGAAAUGUUUGCUUUAUUUUUGGAUUGUUUAGUAAUUAUUGUGUAAUUAGUAAAUUUUGUUUAUUGUUUUGUUGGUAUAUUAAUGUUAAUUGUCUUUGAGGAAUUCGGCAAAUAUUUAUGUCCGCCUGUUUAACAAAAACAUCUUUUCUUGUUAGUUUUUGAAGUAUGGCCUGCCCACUGACGUUUAUUUGUUGAAGGGCCGCGGUAUUUUGACCGUGCAAAGGUAGCAUAAUCAUUAGUUCUUUAAUUGUGAUCUGGUAUGAAUGGCUUGACGAGACAUGAGCUGUCUUAAGGGCAUUAUUUUAUUGAAUUUGAUUUUUGAGUUAAAAUACUUAAAUGUUUUUAUGGGACGAGAAGACCCUAUAGAGUUUGACAGGUUUAUUAUUUAUUUAUUGUUUGUUUGGGUUUUGUUAAGUGGUAAAUUUGUUUUGUUGGGGUGAUGGGAGGAAUAUAUUUAACUCCUCUUUGUUUUUAUCUAUUUAUUUAUAUUUUUUUGAUCCAUUUAUUUUGAUUAUAAGAUUAAAUUACCUUAGGGAUAACAGCGUUAUCCUCCUUGAGAGUUCUUAUUGGCGGGAGGGAUUGCGACCUCGAUGUUGGAUUAAGGUGAAUUUUCGGUGCAGGAGCUGAAAGUGAUUAGGUCUGUUCGACCUUUAAAAUCUUACAUGAUCUGAGUUCAGACCGGCGUGAGCCAGGUUGGUUUCUAUCUAUAGAUUUGUUUUAUACCUUAGUACGAGAGGACCGGGUAUUUGGAAUAAUUUCAGUCAUAUUGGUUUUUGUUAAUGUGAUAGUACUAUUUUGGCAGAUAAGUGCAUUGGAUUUAGAAUCUAUUAA
rnacentral:rRNA from 1 species